rnacentral:rRNA from 1 species
AUACGGAGGGUGCAAGCGUUAUCCGGAUUUAUUGGGUUUAAAGGGUGCGUAGGCGGAAAUAUAAGUCAGUGGUGAAAUCUUGCAGCUUAACUGUAAAACUGCCAUUGAUACUGUGUUUCUUGAGUAUAGUUGAGGUAGGCGGAAUGUGUAAUGUAGCGGUGAAAUGCUUAGAUAUUACACAGAACACCGAUUGCGUAGGCAGCUUACUAAACUAUAACUGACGCUGAGGCACGAAAGCGUGGGGAGCGAACAGAAUUAGAUACCCCAGUAGUCC